rnacentral:misc_RNA from 1 species
GAUGAAGAACGUAGCGAAAUGCGAUACUUGGUGUGAAUUGCAGAAUCCCGUGAACCAUCGAGUCUUUGAACGCAAGUUGCGCCUCAAGCCAUUAGGUUGAGGGCACGUCUGCCUGGGCGUCACAUAUCGUUGCCUGAUGCCAGUUUCCUCGUGAUGGGUGACUGUGCAGGGCGAAUGAUGGCUUCCCGUGAGCAUUGUUGCCUCAUGGUUGGUUGAAAAUUGAGUCCUUGGUAGGGAGCGCCGUGAUAGAUGGUGGUUGAGUGACGAACGAGACCCAAUCAUGUGAGACCCCUACCGAAUUUGGCCUUCAUGACCCACAUGCGUCUUUGGAACGCUCAUGACGAGACCUCAGGUCAGGCGGGGAUACCCGCUGAGUUUAAGCAUAUCAAUAAGCGGAGGA